CCAGCGCUGCUUGACUUUCGUGAUCGGACGAGAACGAGUAUUUUCAACGCGGUAUGAACGUUGGCUGAGGUAAUCAGUUUUGUUAUUUCAUGUUAUCGAAUAGACUAAAUAUUUAAGAAAACAUACAUGUAUAUAUGAGGAUAAAUGGUAUUUUCAGACGUGCAGACAGAUAUAUAAAAUUUUUCCUGGCUUCGUUUCCCAAACAAUGGAUUGUGAAGUUCCGUCAUGUAGGAAAUCAGGCCCUUUCGACUUGCACCAUCAUAAUACUCUAAUUUUCGCGCCUACUUCAAUUUUGAAACUAUUUAAUUUCACUGGAUUGCGUAUAACUACCAACAGUAAAAUACUAACAUUCACGAACGACACGGCUGU
rnacentral:misc_RNA from 1 species